rnacentral:rRNA from 1 species
CCUUAGAGUUUGAUCCUGGCUCAGGACGAACGCUGGCGGCGCGCCUAACACAUGCAAGUCGAACGGAGUUUGAGAGAGCUUGCUUUUUCAAACUUAGUGGCGAACGGGUGAGUAACGCGUGAGUAACCUGCCCUGGAGUGGGGGACAACAGUUGGAAACGACUGCUAAUACCGCAUAAGCCCACGGUGCCGCAUGGCACAGCGGGAAAAGGAUUUAUUCGCUUCAGGAUGGACUCGCGUCCAAUUAGCUAGUUGGUGAGGUAACGGCCCACCAAGGCGACGAUUGGUAGCCGGACUGAGAGGUUGAACGGCCACAUUGGGACUGAGACACGGCCCAGACUCCUACGGGAGGCAGCAGUGGGGGAUAUUGCACAAUGGGGGAAACCCUGAUGCAGCGACGCCGCGUGGAGGAAGAAGGUUUUCGGAUUGUAAACUCCUGUCGUUAGGGACGAUAAUGACGGUACCUAACAAGAAAGCACCGGCUAACUACGUGCCAGCAGCCGCGGUAAAACGUAGGGUGCAAGCGUUGUCCGGAAUUACUGGGUGUAAAGGGAGCGCAGGCGGACCGGCAAGUUGGAAGUGAAAACUAUGGGCUCAACCCAUAAAUUGCUUUCAAAACUGCUGGCCUUGAGUAGUGCAGAGGUAGGUGGAAUUCCUCGGUGUAGCGGUGGAAUGCGUAGAUAUCGGGAGGAACACCAGUGGCGAAGGCGACCUACUGGGCACCAACUGACGCUGAGGCUCGAAAGCAUGGGUAGCAAACAGGAUUAGAUACCCUGGUAGUCCAUGCCGUAAACGAUGAUUACUAGGUGUUGGGGGAUUGACCCCCUCAGUGCCGCAGUUAACACAAUAAGUAAUCCACCUGGGGAGUACGACCGCAAGGUUGAAACUCAAAGGAAUUGACGGGGGCCCGCACAAGCAGUGGAGUAUGUGGUUUAAUUCGAAGCAACGCGAAGAACCUUACCAGGUCUUGACAUCCGAUGCAUAGCACAGAGAUGUGUGAAAUCCUUCGGGACAUCGAGACAGGUGGUGCAUGGUUGUCGUCAGCUCGUGUCGUGAGAUGUUGGGUUAAGUCCCGCAACGAGCGCAACCCUUAUUGCCAGUUACUACGUUAAGAGGACUCUGGCGAGACUGCCGUUGACAAAACGGAGGAAGGUGGGGAUGACGUCAAAUCAUCAUGCCCUUUAUGACCUGGGCUACACACGUACUACAAUGGCGUUAAACAAAGAGAAGCAAGACCGCGAGGUGGAGCAAAACUCAAAAACAACGUCUCAGUUCAGAUUGCAGGCUGCAACUCGCCUGCAUGGAGUCGGAAUUGCUAGUAAUCGCGGAUCAGCAUGCUGCGGUGAAUACGUUCCCGGGUCUUGCACACACCGCCCGUCA